UUGUGAUAGGGAAGGUAGUGACACGCACUGUCAGAGGUGAAUUCUCCAGUGUGACACAUCGGGGGGUAUUGACACGCUCUUCUCAAGCUCUUUUUCGUAGUAUUAAAAUUGGUGCAGUUAAAAAGCUCGUAUUUGAAUUUCUGCUGUAUUGGAUUUUCUCUCUUUAUAUAAGUUUUUGCAUUAGGGCGGAGUGCACCAUUAAGUAUUUAUUAUUACCGAAUGUUUACCUUGAGACAAUUAGAGUGUCAAAAGCAGGUUUUUGCAUUGAAUAAUUUAUCAUGGGACAAUAAAGUACCACUAUGGUUCUUUUUCUUUGGUUUUAGGUACCAACAUAACGGUUAAUAGGAACAAUUGGGGGCCUUCGAUUUCUACUGUCAGACACUCAAAUUCUUAGAA
rnacentral:rRNA from 1 species